AUGCUCCCAACCCUCCUGGCAAAGCUGGAAACCCAACAGCCAUGGCUGGGAUUUGGUGAAUCAGCCACCAGGGGACAGCUCUGUGCUCGUUGCUGCCAUCGUUUCAGCCAACAAGAGCACAUAAAUCUGAGAAAUUCAGAAAAUGGAAAGAAAUCACAUGCACCCCAGGCUUCUGGAGGAGGAAUGAGCCACCUGACAGCUCAAAAGUGCCACCCAGACCCUGGAGCUGCAAUCUGGUGCCUGUGGGUCUCACAGGGAGCUGCUCCUUUCCAAGGAUGGAGCCACAGGAGCCCCAGUGUGGGCUCUGCUCUUCCCCCAGACCGGGCAUGGCCCUGUGAGCACCACAGCCCUGUGAGUGCUGCAGAGGAAAUCAAUCCAGCAGCUGCAGAAAUCCCAGAGGAAUGCCCAGCUUUGCUCCAGCCAGGCCUCCUGAAUUACCACUUGGAAAGAGGCAAGGAAAGAGCAGCUACCUGGGAGAAGUUUUUGCAAGAACAACCAAGGGGAGGAGAGAUCUGGGGUGAGAGGUGCAGCUCCAUCCCCUGCACCUGCAGCAGCCCUGCAAACUCAGCUCCUGAGACCAAAACAACACUGGGACAAUAUUUGAAUCAUAAUCUCAUCACAUUAGGGAAGAAAAUCGGUUUUAAGCAUAAAAAUGCACUUUAAAAUAGAAGAGAAUUGGUGUGCAAGAGCCCCUGUGGCCAAGGCCAGGAGCAACUCCUGCCCUCGUGGGUGAGCUGCUGGUGGGGCAGAGCAGGAGGCACAAUCCCAAGGGUUUGUCCCUUACCCCAAAACACAAUCCCAGGGUUUGUCCCUCAUCCCAAAACACAAUCACAGGGGUUUGUCCCUCAUCCCAAAACACAAUCCCAGGCCCCCCCCCCCCCCCCCCCCCCCCCCCCCCCCCCCCCCCCCCCCCCCCCCCCCCCCCCCCCCCCCCCCCCCCCCCCCCC
rnacentral:lncRNA from 1 species